AGGUCUCACUUUAGCGACCAAAGUGGGUCGCUAUCUUCUUAUCCUUCAGUUAGCGACCAACUUUGGUCGCAAGUUUAAAUUAUAUAUAUUUAUAUUUUAUAAGUUUUAUAAAAUAAUAAUAAAAUUAUUAAAAAAAAUUGUGUGGGUCCCACUUUUGCGACCAACAUUGCUUGCUAAACUCAGUGUAUCUUUGACCAAGUAAGUCUGACCAGUCCAGUCAACAGUUUGACUAAAUUUGCGUCCAAAUAGCGACCAACUAUGGUCGCUAAAUUAUUUCAAAUAUUUUUUUUAUUAUUUUCGGUAGUUUGGCGACCAUCUUUGGUCGCUUUUCUUAACAGACCAAAUUUGGUCGCCAAUAUUUGGUCGCUUUUUGGCCGAAUUCUAGUAGUGAGAAUUAGCGCAUUUUUAAAUUCUUUCACUUGUCUCCAACUGCAUCAGUUGGAGCUCCCUCAACCUCAUAUCCUUGUUUUGGCUUGGCUUGAUCACCUUGCAGAAAUAUUAGCUCCCUCAAAAUCUGCUUUUGUCAAUUCCUUAAGUCAUAUGAGGCUGAGGGAUACAUUGCCCCCUCCUUUUUCUUUUUGUUUCGGAUAACAUUGUUUAACUUCUUAAAAACUGGUCAUGCAUGGUUUAUAUGUAGUCACAUUUUUUUCCCUUCUAUUUAUUCAAUCUCAUAAUGAGUUUUGUUGAUCCAACCUGGAAUGCAUCCUCACGAUUUUUCUCAAGAAUGCAACCAUGAUUAACCAUUGUCUCAAGUCCCAUCUAGUGUAGAUAAGUCAAUUUUGGUUUACCUCAGUCUUUUUGGCUCUUAAGACAUUGCUGUUCUUUUGUGUUUGCCUUUUUUUUUUUUACCUUGAAAGAUUAACGUGACUUAAAACUUGUUAUUGGAUAAGUUGUCUUGAAUCUAUUUACUUGAGUUAGUCACACCAUCCAUGAGUUUUUGGCACUCCACAUCUAUUACAUUUUUCCUCCAGUCGGUUUAGUACAUGUUAUUUGCAUUGGUUUGGAUUAAUGUUUACAUGCAAUUCUUAAUGUUUACAUGCAAUUCUUAAUUCUAGUUAAUAGACUCAUCCACUGUACAUAUAUAUAUUGUGUUUAGGACAAAAUUGAGCUAGCAUUGAGUGAAAGUACAGUGGAUGAGUCUGAAAUUUCUCCAAAUGAUGCUGUUGGUAAGGUGCUAGACAAAGAGCAUCCUGGAAGGGUGAGAUAUUUGGGAUUAGGAGCUACUCCAAGCAAUACUUUCAGAGAGACAAAUCUUCGUCCUGGUAAUAUUAGAAUUGUGAGUAAUAAUGUUGGAUGUUCUUCUUCUGGAUGCCAAGAGAAGUACAAUCAAUUGAUGAAUACUCUCAAAGCAUACAUGAUAAUGAAGGAAGGGUCAAUACCAGAACAAUUUGCUAGGAUCUUUGCUUCUAUUCCUACAACGUAAUGCAGCUAGUGGACCCGUUUCACCGACAGAUGCAAGAAGAUGCGAUAAUAAUCCCAGUGACAACCAUUGAGAUUCAUUUUAAUUGAAGUGGAUGUAUUAGGAUAAUGUAAUAGCUGACUAAUAUAGACGGGUAACUAUGUUCUAAUUUAGCUUGAUGACAUAUGAUACUACUCUGUCAUGGUAUUUUUCACGGUUAAUGAAAUGUUGAUAUUUCUUUAUUUUAA